CUGUAGAUGAUGAUUGCUUUGCUGAUUGGCCUUCAAUUAUCUUUUCCACAUCGUUUUCUGUGUAAUUUUUGUCAUGGAAAAGCAACAGCAA